rnacentral:rRNA from 1 species
GUAGGUGGCAAGCGUUGUCCGGAAUUAUUGGGCGUAAAGCGCGCGCAGGCGGUCCUUUAAGUCUGAUGUGAAAGCCCACGGCUCAACCGUGGAGGGUCAUUGGAAACUGGGGGACUUGAGUACAGAAGAGGAAAGCGGAAUUCCAAGUGUAGCGGUGAAAUGCGUAGAGAUUUGGGGGAACACCAGUGGCGAAGGCGGCUUUCUGGUCUGUAACUGACGCUGAGGCGCGAAAGCGUGGGGAGCAAACAGGAUUAGAUACCCUGGUAGUCCACGCCGUAAACGAUGAGUGCUAAGUGUUAGGGGGUUUCCGCCCCUUAGUGCUGCAGCUAACGCAUUAAGCACUCCGCCUGGGGAGUACGGCCGCAAGGCUG